rnacentral:rRNA from 1 species
GGCUCAGAUUGAACGCUGGCGGAAUGCUUUACACAUGCAAGUCGAACGAUGAUUUCUAGCUUGCUAGAAUGAUUAGUGGCGAACGGGUGAGUAAUGUAUCGGAACGUAUCCAAUAAUGGGGGAUAACUAAUCGAAAGGUUGGCUAAUACCGCAUACGCCCUACGGGGGAAAGCAGGGGAUUCUUCGGACCUUGCGUUAAUGGAAGCGGCCGAUAUCUGAUUAGCUAGUUGGUGAGGUAAAAGCUCACCAAGGCGACGAUCAGUAGCUGGUCUGAGAGGACGACCAGCCACACUGGAACUGAGGCACGGUCCAGACUCCUACGGGAGGCAGCAGUGGGGAAUUUUGGACAAUGGGCGAAAGCCUGAUCCAGCCAUUCCGCGUGAGUGAAGAAGGCCUUCGGGUUGUAAAGCUCUUUCGCAAGGGAAGAAACGAUGCAGUCGAAUAAACUGUGUUAAUGACGGUACCUUGAUAAGAAGCACCGGCUAACUACGUGCCAGCAGCCGCGGUAAUACGUAGGGUGCAAGCGUUAAUCGGAAUUACUGGGCGUAAAGCGUGCGCAGGCGGUUUUGUAAGUCAGAUGUGAAAUCCCCGAGCUCAACUUGGGAACUGCGUUUGAAACUACAAGACUAGAAUAUGUCAGAGGGGGGUAGAAUUCCACGUGUAGCAGUGAAAUGCGUAGAGAUGUGGAGGAAUACCAAUGGCGAAGGCACCCCCCUGGGAUAAUAUUGACGCUCAUGCACGAAAGCGUGGGGAGCAAACAGGAUUAGAUACCCUGGUAGUCCACGCCCUAAACGAUGUCUACUAGUUGUUGGUGGAGUAAAAUCCAUGAGUAACGCAGCUAACGCGUGAAGUAGACCGCCUGGGGAGUACGGUCGCAAGAUUAAAACUCAAAGGAAUU